UAGGGUUGUUUUCUGAUGAACACACCUGAUUUUUCUUUCCUUCCCUAGGGAAGUCCUAUAAGCCCUGGUUUGUGAAGCCUCGAUAUUUCUCCAGUCCACAUUGUAGUGGGUAUCUCCAAAUAGCAUUAACGUUCCAUCUGAUAUCGCUUUUUCUCUGUUUCUCUCUUUUUAAGUAGGCU